GACGAACGCUGGCGGCGUGCCUAAUACAUGCAAGUAGAACGCACAGUUUAUACCGUAGCUUGCUACACCAUAAACUGUGAGUUGCGAACGGGUGAGUAACGCGUAGGUAACCUGCCUGGUAGCGGGGGAUAACUAUUGGAAACGAUAGCUAAUACCGCAUAAUAUUAAUUAUUGCAUGAUAAUUGAUUGAAAGAUGCAAUUGCAUCACUACCAGAUGGACCUGCGUUGUAUUAGCUAGUAGGUGAGGUAACGGCUCACCUAGGCGACGAUACAUAGCCGACCUGGGAGGGUGAUCGGCCACACUGGGACUGGGACACGGCCCAGACUCCUACGGGAGGCAGCAGUAGGGAAUCUUCGGCAAUAGACGAAAGUCUGACCGAGCAACGCCGCGUGAGUGAAGAAGGUUUUCGGAUCGUAAAGCUCUGUUGUAAGAGAAGAACGGGUGUGAGAGUGGAAAGUUCACACUGUGACGGUAUCUUACCAGAAAGGGACGGCUAACUACGUG
rnacentral:rRNA from 1 species